rnacentral:misc_RNA from 1 species
GUUUUGUCUGGAUUGGAAAAGAUAAAGGGUAAUGGAAAAUUUGCAGUUGCAAGCAAGGAGAAGGAGGUGAGUGAGGAAGAGGAGGAUAGUGACACUUCAGAUUCUGAGGUGGAUUCAGAGAUUGAGAGGAUUAUUGCUGAAAGGCAUGGUAAGAAGGGCAGUAGUAAGAAGAGGUCAUCUAAGGAAGAGAAUUCUGAUGAAGGGUCAGAUUCUGAUUC